CAGCAGCCGCGGGAAUACGUAGGUGGCAAGCGUUGUCCGGAAUUAUUGGGCGUAAAGGGCUCGCAGGCGGUUUCUUAAGUCUGAUGUGAAAGCCCCCGGCUCAACCGGGGAGGGUCAUUGGAAACUGGGAAACUUGAGUGCAGAAGAGGAGAGUGGAAUUCCACGUGUAGCGGUGAAAUGCGUAGAGAUGUGGAGGAACACCAGUGGCGAAGGCGACUCUCUGGUCUGUAACUGACGCUGAGGCUCGAAAGCGUGGGGAGCAAACAGGUUUAGAUACCCCUGUAGUCCCUGUCUCUUAUAC
rnacentral:rRNA from 1 species